GGCGCACGGGUGAGUAACGCGUGGGUAACCUACCCUUAAGCCCGGGAUAACCCACCGAAAGGUGGCCUAAUACCGGAUACCGUCACGAGAACCCCGGUUCUCGGGAUGAAAGCUGACCUCUUCGUGAAAGUUGGCGUUUAGGGAGGGGCUCGCGUACCAUUAGCUUGUUGGUAGGGUAACGGCCUACCAAGGCUACGAUGGUUAGCUGGUCUGAGAAGACAACCAGCCACACUGGAACUGAGACACGGUCCAGACUCCUACGGGAGGCAGCAGUGAGGAAUCUUGCGCAAUGGGGGAAACCCUGACGCAGCGACGCCGUGUGGGUGAAGAAGGCCUUCGGGUCGUAAAGCCCUGUCAAGUGGGAAUAACGUCAUGCCGUUAAUAGCGGCAGGACUUGAAGGUACCACUAGAGGAAGCACCGGCUAACUCCGUGCCAGCAGCCGCGGUAAUACGGAGGGUGCUAGCGUUAUUCGGAUUUAUUGGGCGUAAAGAGCGUGUAGGCGGUUGGGUUAGUCAGAUGUGAAAUCCUUCUGCUCAACGGAAGAAGUACGUCUGAAACUGCCCAACUUGAGUACGAGAGAGGAAAGUGGAAUUCCCAGUGUAGAGGUGAAAUUCGUAGAUAUUGGGAGGAACACCCGUGGCGAAGGCGACUUUCUGGAUCGAUACUGACGCUGAG
rnacentral:rRNA from 1 species